ensembl:misc_RNA 7SK 7SK RNA
GGAUGUGAGGGUGAUCUGGCUGCGACAUCUGUCACCCCAUUGAUCGCCAGGGUUGAUUCGGCUAAUCUGGCUGGCUAGGCGGGUGUCCCCUUCCUCCCUCACCGCUCCAUGUGCGUCCCUCCCGAAGCUGCGCGCUGGGUCGAAGAGGACGGCCUUCCCCGAAUAGAGACGGACCGGUCUUCAGUCGAGGGUAUACGAGUAGCUGCGCUCCCCUGCUAGAACCUCCAAACAAGCUCUCAAGGAAGAGAAAUAGGUAUUUACUGAGGUAAAUAAAAUAGCUUGAUUUGUACUGCUAUGAUAU